rnacentral:rRNA from 1 species
GACAGAGGUCCCAAGCGUUGUUCGGAUUUACUGGGCGUAAAGGGCGCGUAGGCGGCCGGGCCAGUCCGGCGUGAAAGCCCGCAGCUUAACUGCGGAAGGGCGUCGGAUACUACCCGGCUCGAGGGUUGGAGAGGGGACUGGAAUUCCCGGUGUAGCGGUGAAAUGCGUAGAUAUCGGGAAGAACGCCAGUGGCGAAGGCAAGUCCCUGGACAACUCCUGACGCUGAGGCGCGAAAGCCAGGGGAGCAAACAGG